CAUGCACGUCUAAGUACUCGCCUUGGUCUAUUUAAAGUGAAACCGCGAAUGGCUCAUUAAAUCAGUUAUGGUUCACUGGACCGUACCACAUCCUACUCGGAUAACUGUGGUAAUUCUAGAGCUAAUACAUGCAACUAGGCCCUGCCCGGCCGCYCCGUCCGUCAAAACGACGGUCGGUCGGAAAGGGCGCCAUUAUCAGCUCAAAACCGACCGGGUCGCCCGCCGUCCUCUGGACGGGCAGGGCUCCCGUUCUCGUUGACCCUUUGACGACUCUGGAUAACCUCCUAGCGGAUCGCCGAUCAAACUUAGGUCGGCCGGGUGUUUCGGCAUUCGCGCCCGACCUAACGGCGACUGGUCUUUCGAAUGUCUGCCUUAUCAACUGUCGACGGUAGGUUAGACGCCUACCGUGGUCGUAACGGGUGACGGGGAAUCAGGGUUCGAUUCCGGAGAGGGAGCCUGAGAAACGGCUACCACAUCCAAGGAAGGCAGCAGGCACGCAAAUUACCCAAUCCCCGAACGGGGAGGUAGUGACGAAAAAUAACGAUACGGGACUCUUAACGAGGCCUCGUAAUCGGAAUGAGUCCGCUCUAAAUCCUUUUAACGAGGAUCUAUCGGAGGGCAAGUCUGGUGCCAGCAGCCGCGGUAAUUCCAGCUCCGAUAGCGUAUAUUAAAGUUGCUGCGGUUAAAAAGCUCGUAGUUGGAUUUGGGUUUUCGGGCCGGCGGGCCGCCGCCUUCGAGCGGCGCGUCUCCCGCCGCGCCCCCGGAACCGCACGGUCGCAGAGGCCCCCGCGGUGCUCUUGAGUGAGUGUCCGCCGGUUCGGGUCGCCGAACGUUUACUUUGAAAAAAUUAGAGUGCUCCAGGCAGGCCGGUAAAGCGUUGUUUAAAAAAGACCCGCGCCUGAAUAGUCACGCAUGGAAUAAUGAAAGAGGACCGGUGGUCCUAUUUUGUUGGUUUUCGGGAUUUUCCGCCGUCAUGAUUAAGAGGGACGGCCGGGGGCAUUCGUACCGCGGCGCGAGAGGUGAAAUUCUAGGACCGCCGCGAGACGAACCGUUGCGAAAGCAUUUGCCAAGAAUGUUUUCCUUAAUCAAGAACGAAAGUCAGAGGUUCGAAGGCGAUCAGAUACCGCCCUAGUUCUGACCGUAAACGAUGCCACCUGACGAUCCGCCAGGGUUACUACCAUGACUCGGCGGGCAGCCCCCGGGAAACCCAAGCCUUCGGGUUCCGGGGGAAGUAUGGUUGCAAAGCUGAAACUUAAAGGAAUUGACGGAAGGGCACCACCAGGAGUGGAGCCUGCGGCUUAAUUUGACUCAACACGGGAAACCUCACCCGGCCCGGACACCGCGAGGAUUGACAGAUUGAGAGCUCUUUCUCGAUUCGGUGGGUGGUGGUGCAUGGCCGUUCUUAGUUGGUGGAGCGAUUUGUCUGGUUAAUUCCGAUAACGAACGAGACUCUAGCCGGUUAAGUAGCCCGGAGCGGUUUUUGAUCUUUGCCGUCCGUCCUCCGUCCUACCUUUUUUUUCCCGUCCUCGGCCGACCGGCCACGGAGGGAAAAGGGAAAGGCGAGGAGGUGGUCAUCCGUGGUGGUUUUUC
rnacentral:rRNA from 1 species